AUUCACAAGUCUCUUUUUGAACAAUACUUUUUCUUCAAACUUGAAUUAGGAGAUAUCAUAAUGCCUGGCUUCAUUUUCAGGGACUUCAUGAAGUCCAGAUCUGUGAAAGAGCAAAAAUAAAACCGAGAAAAAUUUUACACAAGAGCAAACUGUGAGACAGGGAUCAAUCAAAGUGAGAUUCCACUCUUUAUGGCAAAGAUGAUUCUAAGGAAUUAAGGAAGAUUCUUCUGAUGAAGCCAGCCUGUUUAGGCUUGUCCAGCCACAUGAUUGAAAAAACUGACUGAUCUCAAGUGUGUCCUCGGAAUGGCUGACUAUUAUAC